rnacentral:rRNA from 1 species
AUUGAACGCUGGCGGCAGGCCUAACACAUGCAAGUCGAGCGGUAGCACAGAGAGCUUGCUCUCGGGUGACGAGCGGCGGACGGGUGAGUAAUGUCUGGGAAACUGCCUGAUGGAGGGGGAUAACUACUGGAAACGGUAGCUAAUACCGCAUAAUGUCGCAAGACCAAAGUGGGGGACCUUCGGGCCUCAUGCCAUCAGAUGUGCCCAGAUGGGAUUAGCUAGUAGGUGGGGUAACGGCUCACCUAGGCGACGAUCCCUAGCUGGUCUGAGAGGAUGACCAGCCACACUGGAACUGAGACACGGUCCAGACUCCUACGGGAGGCAGCAGUGGGGAAUAUUGCACAAUGGGCGCAAGCCUGAUGCAGCCAUGCCGCGUGUGUGAAGAAGGCCUUCGGGUUGUAAAGCACUUUCAGCGGGGAGGAAGGCGAUAAGGUUAAUAACCUUGUCGAUUGACGUUACCCGCAGAAGAAGCACCGGCUAACUCCGUGCCAGCAGCCGCGGUAAUACGGAGGGUGCAAGCGUUAAUCGGAAUUACUGGGCGUAAAGCGCACGCAGGCGGUCUGUCAAGUCGGAUGUGAAAUCCCCGGGCUCAACCUGGGAACUGCAUUCGAAACUGGCAGGCUAGAGUCUUGUAGAGGGGGGUAGAAUUCCAGGUGUAGCGGUGAAAUGCGUAGAGAUCUGGAGGAAUACCGGUGGCGAAGGCGGCCCCCUGGACAAAGACUGACGCUCAGGUGCGAAAGCGUGGGGAGCAAACAGGAUUAGAUACCCUGGUAGUCCACGCCGUAAACGAUGUCGAUUUGGAGGUUGUGCCCUUGAGGCGUGGCUUCCGGAGCUAACGCGUUAAAUCGACCGCCUGGGGAGUACGGCCGCAAGGUUAAAACUCAAAUGAAUUGACGGGGGCCCGCACAAGCGGUGGAGCAUGUGGUUUAAUUCGAUGCAACGCGAAGAACCUUACCUGGUCUUGACAUCCACAGAACUUUCCAGAGAUGGAUUGGUGCCUUCGGGAACUGUGAGACAGGUGCUGCAUGGCUGUCGUCAGCUCGUGUUGUGAAAUGUUGGGUUAAGUCCCGCAACGAGCGCAACCCUUAUCCUUUGUUGCCAGCGGUUCGGCCGGGAACUCAAAGGAGACUGCCAGUGAUAAACUGGAGGAAGGUGGGGAUGACGUCAAGUCAUCAUGGCCCUUACGACCAGGGCUACACACGUGCUACAAUGGCAUAUACAAAGAGAAGCGACCUCGCGAGAGCAAGCGGACCUCAUAAAGUAUGUCGUAGUCCGGAUUGGAGUCUGCAACUCGACUCCAUGAAGUCGGAAUCGCUAGUAAUCGUAGAUCAGAAUGCUACGGUGAAUACGUUCCCGGGCCUUGUACACGCCGCCCGUCACACCAUGGGAGUGGGUUGCAAAAGAAGUAGGUAGCUUAACCUUCGGGAGGGCGCUUACCACUUUGUGAUUCAUGACUGGGGUGA